UGGCGGUGCUUUAGACUAUUCAGGGGAACCUGUCUCAUAAUCGACAAUCCACGAUAUACCUAACCUUUUCUAGUUAUCAGUAUGUAUACCGUCGUCGUCAGGUAACUUUUAAAAAUAAAGAAGUUAGCAAUAAAAAUCAUAAUGAUUUUGUACGUCAGAUCAAGGUGCAGCUCAUGAGAAGGUGAGGAUGGGUUACAAUUAAAAUUUAUAAUAACGGAAGAGAGUUUGAUACAGCUCUCAGUGAAGGAGGACUUGAAAGUAAAAUUGUUGUAUACAAAUUCUUUGAAUUUAGCUCUGAAGCGU
rnacentral:rRNA from 1 species